GUGGCCGCCAUGUUGUGAAAAGUGCUGCGAGGCAUUUAUAUAUGUGAUGGAGAUCACCCGCUGUGGAAAAGCACUCCUUCAUUCCUCAUGCAGAAAGAACUGUCAGCGAGUUGGAGGCAAUUAAACAAGUGGAUGUUCACACAAGGAUGAACCGUGGGCUUUCAGAAUCACAGCGACACCGGCCAAACACAGCAGCGCGUCGGUCCAACUUUAACCUCUAGAGUUUAGAGAUGGGACAGCGGGAGCAGGAACGCCGGCAUGUACGAGUCCCCGACAGAUGGAUGGGACGUCCUUUGUGUGCAGCUUUUGAUGCGUGGGUGGAUUUCAGCAACCCCGGCUGCACGGAUCAGAGCUGGCAGCUGACGUCAGCCUGGCUUGACGUCGACGUGAUGGCGGUCAUGACGUCAGCGGAUGAAAAUGAUCUCCAACAACAGCCACCGUUCUAAAGAUGCCUUCAUGUCCAAUUUAGCCCGGAUGGUGGCAAUGGGUCAUUUCUCAAGAAGGUGUUGCGGAGGGUGGGGGAAGAGAGAAAAGAGCGACUGGGGCAGAUGUUCAGAGGUUUUGACAACAACACGUGAGGAGAGAGAUAGAGGAGUUAAGGGAGGGGUUGCUUCAGAAACGGAGACAGAUAUUGAUUUUGUCUUGUUUUUCAGUCUUUUCAAAGACU